AGGAAACGAGAAGUCGACGCGCCUCUCGAGGCGUCCGGCCCUCCGCGAGCACCCGCGGGGGUUCGGGUCACGGACCCGGUCCGUUCCCGUUCCCACCGAGGGGCUGUCCGCGAACAUGGAGGUGUCCUCGGACGGCGUCGAAUUCCGGUCCGCGACGCUACGGCUUGGAUGGUCCACCCGACCCGUCUUGAAACACGGACCAAGGAGUCUAACAUGCGCGCGAGUCGUUGGGUUGGCGAAGCUAAACCCAUAGGCGCAAUGAAAGUGAAGGCCGCCUCUCCGGCGGCCGAGGGAGGACGGGGCCCCGCCCCCGCACUCCCGGGGCGUCUGAUCCCUCAUCGCGAGGGGAGGCGCACCCAGAGCGCACACGUUGGGACCCGAAAGAUGGUGAACUAUGCCUGGCCAGGACGAAGUCAGGGGAAACCCUGAUGGAGGUCCGUAGCGAUUCUGACGUGCAAAUCGAUCGUCGGAGCUGGGUAUAGGGGCGAAAGACUAAUCGAACCAUCUAGUAGCUGGUUCCCUCCGAAGUUUCCCUCAGGAUAGCUUGCGCUCGGAGUCGAGUCUCAUCCGGUAAAGCGAAUGAUUAGAGGCCUUGGGGCCGAAACGGCUUCAACCUAUUCUCAAACUUUAAAUGGGUGAGAGCUCCGGCUUGCUCGAUUAACGAAGCCGGAGGCUGGAUCGGAGUGCCUAGUGGGCCACUUUUGGUAAGCAGAACUGGCGCUGUGGGAUGAACCAAACGACGGGUUAAGGCGCCCGAAUCGACGCUCAUGGGAAACCAUGAAAGGUGUUGGUUGCUUAAGACAGCAGGACGGUGGCCAUGGAAGUCGGAAUCCGCUAAGGAGUGUGUAAUAACUCACCUGCCGAAGCAACUAGCCCUGAAAAUGGAUGGCGCUGAAGCGUCGUGCCUAUACCCGGCCGUCGCGGCGGGGCGGAUUCGUUCCGUUCGAUGCUGCGACGAGUAGGAGGGUCGCGGCGGCGUGCGCAGAAGGGUCUGGGCUCGAGCCUGCCUGGAGCCGCCGCCGGUGCAGAUCUUGGUGGUAGUAGCAAAUACUCCAGCGAGGCCCUGGAGGACUGAUGUGGAGAAGGGUUUCGUGUGAACAGCCGUUGCACACGAGUCAGUCGAUCCUAAGCCCUAGGAGAAAUCCGACGCCUACGGCGACGGGAGAAAAUGUUUUUCUGGAACGAAACCCGUUGAUCGGGCGAAAGGGAAUCCGGUUCCUAUUCCGGAACCCGGCAGCGGAACCGCUGUUUGUCGGGCCCUCACAAGGGGUUCGUCAGGGUAACCUAAAAGGGCCCGGAGACGCCGUCGGGAGCCCCGGAAAGAGUUUUCUUUUCUGCAUGAGCGUUCGAGUUCCCUG
rnacentral:rRNA from 1 species